rnacentral:rRNA from 1 species
AGAGUUUGAUCAUGGCUCAGAUUGAACGCUGGCGGCAGGCCUAACACAUGCAAGUCGAACGGUAACAGGAAGCAGCUUGCUGCUUCGCUGACGAGUGGCGGACGGGUGAGUAAUGUCUGGGAAACUGCCUGAUGGGGGGGGAUAACUACUGGAAACGGUAGCUAAUACCGCAUAACGUCGCAAGACCAAAGAGGGGGACCUUCGGGCCUCUUGCCAUCGGAUGUGCCCAGAUGGGAUUAGCUUGUUGGUGGGGUAACGGCUCACCAAGGCGACGAUCCCUAGCUGGUCUGAGAGGAUGACCAGCCACACUGGAACUGAGACACGGUCCAGACUCCUACGGGAGGCAGCAGUGGGGAAUAUUGCACAAUGGGCGCAAGCCUGAUGCAGCCAUGCCGCGUGUAUGAAGAAGGCCUUCGGGUUGUAAAGUACUUUCAGCGGGGAGGAAGGGAGUAAAGUUAAUACCUUUGCUCAUUGACGUUACCCGCAGAAGAAGCACCGGCUAACUCCGUGCCAGCAGCCGCGGUAAUACGGAGGGUGCAAGCGUUAAUCGGAAUUACUGGGCGUAAAGCGCACGCAGGCGGUUUGUUAAGUCAGAUGUGAAAUCCCCGGGCUCAACCUGGGAACUGCAUCUGAUACUGGCAAGCUUGAGUCUCGUAGAGGGGGGUAGAAUUCCAGGUGUAGCGGUGAAAUGCGUAGAGAUCUGGAGGAAUACCGGUGGCGAAGGCGGCCCCCUGGACGAAGACUGACGCUCAGGUGCGAAAGCGUGGGGAGCAAACAGGAUUAGAUACCCUGGUAGUCCACGCCGUAAACGAUGUCGACUUGGAGGUUGUGCCCUUGAGGCGUGGCUUCCGGAGCUAACGCGUUAAGUCGACCGCCUGGGGAGUACGGCCGCAAGGUUAAAACUCAAAUGAAUUGACGGGGGCCCGCACAAGCGGUGGAGCAUGUGGUUUAAUUCGAUGCAACGCGAAGAACCUUACCUGGUCUUGACAUCCACGGAAGUUUUCAGAGAUGAGAAUGUGCCUUCGGGAACCGUGAGACAGGUGCUGCAUGGCUGUCGUCAGCUCGUGUUGUGAAAUGUUGGGUUAAGUCCCGCAACGAGCGCAACCCUUAUCCUUUGUUGCCAGCGGUCCGGCCGGGAACUCAAAGGAGACUGCCAGUGAUAAACUGGAGGAAGGUGGGGAUGACGUCAAGUCAUCAUGGCCCUUACGACCAGGGCUACACACGUGCUACAAUGGCGCAUACAAAGAGAAGCGACCUCGCGAGAGCAAGCGGACCUCAUAAAGUGCGUCGUAGUCCGGAUUGGAGUCUGCAACUCGACUCCAUGAAGUCGGAAUCGCUAGUAAUCGUGGAUCAGAAUGCCACGGUGAAUACGUUCCCGGGCCUUGUACACACCGCCCGUCACACCAUGGGAGUGGGUUGCAAAAGAAGUAGGUAGCUUAACCUUCGGGAGGGCGCUUACCACUUUGUGAUUCAUGACUGGGGUGAAGUCGUAACAAGGUAACCGUAGGGGAACCUGCGGUUGGAUCACCU